UGGACUGCACUUUAGAACAACACAAUCCAAAAACAACAGCACCACAAGUGAAGGAACCAGAAGAUACUUCAGGUCCAGGCUUGUGUUCUACACGACUGGAUGCCACACCUUAUCAUCUGGACUGUUCUACACCUCUAUAUUGACCUCUGUUUGACCUAUAUAGUGUCUUUAUGGUGACCUCUGUGUGACCUCAAUAGCCGGAGUGGUAACCACUGUGUUGCACGUUCACCCAUCCUGUCCUGCCAGAGCAGUCACAUGGCCUCCUGACCCCUCCCACUUCGCCGACUUUUGUAUGUGUGUGUGUGUGUGUGUGUGUCGGUUGGUCUGUGUGUCUGUCUGUCUGAGGUAAUGUAAGAGGUGCCAAACUAAGGUUGUGACACCACAAUUGGAACAAUGUCACACAAGGACCGUGGUCUCUGUGAUGUAUACAUACACACCGUCUGAUGUAGACAUGACUGAAAAGAACAGAUAUAUUUUUGACAGCUGGGAGGGGGAGACACUAGAAUCUCAGAGAAGUUAGAGGAGGAACUAAAGGAUAUUACUUGACUACAUGUGAACCUGUAAGAAUACUGUGCUGUUUAACCUGAAUCACACUAUGAAUAUAUCACAUUCCUCUUCUCCUCCGCCUCCCUUCCACUCCGCACCUUCUUUCACCUGGGGAACUGGAACACCUGGGCUGAGGCAACUGUGUGUGAGCUUGGUGUGUGUGUGUGAAGUGUAGGUAUGUGUGUGUGUGUGUGUGUGUGCGUGAGAGGUGUGUGUAUGAGGUGUGUUUGAUCUUCCAUGAGCACCUCUGCACCGAGCAGGCACCGAUCAGCUCCUCUCUUCCUCAGCAGUGUGCCUGCGGCCGCGUCUCAAUCCUCUCCCCCUCCUUCCUCCCCUCCUCUCUGGUCCAGCCCUGGGAUGUGCUCUCAUCACAGGGUCCUAGGACGAUGGUAGGAUGGUAGUGGGUCCUCCAGGAACAGACCAGACUAGAUGAUUUACGAGACCCCGCUCCUCUAGGAUCAGACCAGACUAGACAAUAGUAGAGUAUAAGUGCAGCAGUGGGUGGCCAGGAAGGAGAUGGAGAUUCUACUUCCUGUUCUGGUGGACAGGCUCACUGACAUCAGCCCAUUCUGGGAAAACUCCCACCAACAAUAAACACAAUAAAGCCCUCCUCAUGUCCAGAUGUGGUGAACAUCAGAGACCAGCAGGGUCCAGCAGUGUCCGGCAGGACCACUACAGUUCACUGGUUUCCUGGUCCAGUCCAGAGAGAGAUGACUCCAUCAGACAGCAGUCCAGCCUCACCCCGCCUCCUCCCAAUCCAUCCUGUCUGAAGAGUGUGCUUGAUAAGAAGGAAUAAGGGGGAAGUACUUCUGAUGAGAACCAUUCUUCUCCUGCUCUUCCACAUCUCCCUCCUUCCUUCCAUCCUCUUUCAUUCCUAUCCUGGCUCCCUCCUCUCCUCACUCCUUUCUUCCCUCCUUCCCUCUCUCAAUCCCUAUCUUCCCCCUUCCCUCCUUCUGCCUCUAAUACUCUCACUCCCUCCUUCCCUCCCUCCCUCCCUUUCUCCUUCCCUCCCUCCUCCAUUUUCAUAUUCUCUUUGAUUUAUGCACUGUGGUUUGGUCACCCGUAACCUUGUCAUCGUGAGCGGUGAUAUAGGGCCUUGUUAAUGUUCCUCGGCUGAUCUGGCACGG